GGCUGGUCUGAAGGUAGUGAGUUAUCUCAAUUGAUUGUUCGCAGUUAUAGAUCAAACUUCUUGUUCUACUCUUUCCUCUCUUCUCACUACUGUACUUGACUAGUCUUUG
ensembl:Y_RNA Y_RNA Y RNA